GAUAAAUCAGGGAUAUCCUAGUGAGUAGUUCAGGCAACAAGAAGAGUGAAGAAUAAGACUCUUCUGGCAAAGUGUUUGUUUACACUCUGGAGGCAGAACUCACCCUAGGGAAAUUCUUUUUGCUCUUCAGGUGUUAAACUGAUUGAUUGAGACCCACCCACAUUAUGGAAGGGAGAUACCACCUGCUUCCAGAGAGGCUGGAAAUGCCAGACAAGGAAAUUAAAAAGC